rnacentral:misc_RNA from 1 species
GAAAGAGACAACACAAGUAGAGAAGUUUCUUUCUGUCCUUCUUCUAUAACUCGAAGGAUCCCAUAAAAAAUAUGUAAUAGAGUCCGAUCACAACAAUCGAAUUGAUUAUCUUCAUGCAUAAUUUUUUUAUCCUUUUUGCACUGAUAGUUGUUUGUCAAGCAUCAACCUGUAUGUUUGGUUGAGUGAUUGUGGUUAGCCAUCAACAAUUAAAUUUGUUUGGAUUUCCUCUCCCAAAACCUUUUUUUGUGUUUUCUUGGCAAUCAAACAGAGCUCUACAAUAUGUUUGUUUGUUUUCAAUUUUGAACUUUC